rnacentral:rRNA from 1 species
UACGGAGGGAGCUAGCGUUGUUCGGAUAUACUGGGCGUAAAGCGCACGUAGGCGGCGCAGCAAGUCAGGGGUGAAAUCCCGGGGCUCAACCCCGGAACUGCCCUUGAAACUGCAGUGCUAGAAUCUUGGAGAGGCGAGUGGAAUUCCGAAUGUAGAGGUGAAAUUCGUAGAUAUUCGGAAGAACACCAGUGGCGAAGGCGACUCGCUGGACAAGUAUUGACGCUGAGGUGCGAAAGCGUGGGGAGCAAACAGG